rnacentral:rRNA from 1 species
AGAGUGUGAUCCUGGCUCUUAACGAACGCUGGCGGCGUGCUUAACACAUGCACGUCGAACGCGAAAGGGACUUCGGUCCUGAGUACAGUGGCGCACGGGUGAGUAACGCGUGAGUGAUCUACCCCUGUAUUUGGGAUAACUAUGGGAAACUGUAGCUAAUACCGGAUACGUUCAUGUAAUUGCGGUUAUGUGAAGAAAGAUGGCCUCUGACUUAAGCUAUUGUACAGGGAGGAGCUUGCGUACCAUUAGCUACUUGGUAGGGUAAUGGCCUACCAAGGCAACGAUGGUUAGCGGGUCUGAGAGGAUGAUCCGCCUCACUGGAACUGAAACACGGACCAGACUCCUACGGGAGGCAGCAAUGAGGAAUAUUGCGCAAUGGGGGCAACCCUGACGCAACGACGCCGCGUGGAUGAUGAAGGCCUUCGGGUCCCAAAAUCCUGUCGGAUGGGAAGAAGUGUUAUGUGGCUAAUAUCCAUGUAAUUUGACGGUACCAUCUAAGGAAGCACCGGCUAACUCCGUGCCAGCAGCCGCGGUAAUACGGAGGGUUCAAGCGUUGUUCGGAAUUACUGGGCGUAAAGCGCGCGUAGGCGGUUUGUUAAGUCAGAUGUGAAAGCCCAGGGCUUAACCCUGGACGUGCAUUUGAAACUGGCAGACUUGAGUAUUGGAGGGGUGGUGGAAUUACCGGUGUAGAUGUGAAAUUCGUAGAUAUCGGGAGGAAUACCGGUGGCAAAGCAACCCCCUGCCCAACACUGACUCUGAUGCUGCGAACGCUGCGAUCAACAGAUAGAUACCCUGGUAGUC